UACAGAGGGGGCAAGCGUUGUUCGGAAUUACUGGGCGUAAAGGGCGCGUAGGCGGCCUGCUAAGUCGAACGUGAAAUCCCUGGGCUCAACCCAGGAACUGCGUCCGAUACUGGCAGGCUUGAAUCCGGGAGAGGGAUGCGGAAUUCCAGGUGUAGCGGUGAAAUGCGUAGAUAUCUGGAGGAACACCGGUGGCGAAGGCGGCAUCCUGGACCGGCAUUGACGCUGAGGCGCGAAAGCUAGGGGAGCAAACAGG
rnacentral:rRNA from 1 species